UUAAGCGUGUAGGCUGGUUUUCCAGGCAAAUCCGGAAAAUCAAGGCUGAGGCGUGAUGACGAGGCACUACGGUGCUGAAGCAACAAAUGCCCUGCUUCCAGGAAAAGCCUCUAAGCAUCAGGUAACAUCAAAUCGUACCCCAAACCGACACAGGUGGUCAGGUAGAGAAUACCAAGGCGCUUGAGAGAACUCGGGUGAAGGAACUAGGCAAAAUGGUGCCGUAACUUCGGGAGAAGGCACGCUGAUAUGUAGGUGAAGUCCCUCGCGGAUGGAGCUGAAAUCAGUCGAAGAUACCAGCUGGCUGCAACUGUUUAUUAAAAACACAGCACUGUGCAAACACGAAAGUGGACGUAUACGGUGUGACGCCUGCCCGGUGCCGGAAGGUUAAUUGAUGGGGUCAGCGCAAGCGAAGCUCUUGAUCGAAGCCCCGGUAAACGGCGGCCGUAACUAUAACGGUCCUAAGGUAGCGAAAUUCCUUGUCGGGUAAGUUCCGACCUGCACGAAUGGCGUAAUGAUGGCCAGGCUGUCUCCACCCGAGACUCAGUGAAAUUGAACUCGCUGUGAAGAUGCAGUGUACCCGCGGCAAGACGGAAAGACCCCGUGAACCUUUACUAUAGCUUGACACUGAACAUUGAGCCUUGAUGUGUAGGAUAGGUGGGAGGCUUAGAAGUGUGGACGCCAGUCUGCAUGGAGCCGACCUUGAAAUACCACCCUUUAAUGUUUGAUGUUCUAACGUUGACCCGUAAUCCGGGUUGCGGACAGUGUCUGGUGGGUAGUUUGACUGGGGCGGUCUCCUCCUAAAGAGUAACGGAGGAGCACGAAGGUUGGCUAAUCCUGGUCGGACAUCAGGAGGUUAGUGCAAUGGCAUAAGCCAGCUUGACUGCGAGCGUGACGGCGCGAGCAGGUGCGAAAGCAGGUCAUAGUGAUCCGGUGGUUCUGAAUGGAAGGGCCAUCGCUCAACGGAUAAAAGGUACUCCGGGGAUAACAGGCUGAUACCGCCCAAGAGUUCAUAUCGACGGCGGUGUUUGGCACCUCGAUGUCGGCUCAUCACAUCCUGGGGCUGAAGUAGGUCCCAAGGGUAUGGCUGUUCGCCAUUUAAAGUGGUACGCGAGCUGGGUUUAGAACGUCGUGAGACAGUUCGGUCCCUAUCUGCCGUGGGCGCUGGAGAACUGAGGGGGGCUGCUCCUAGUACGAGAGGACCGGAGUGGACGCAUCACUGGUGUUCGGGUUGUCAUGCCAAUGGCACUGCCCGGUAGCUAAAUGCGGAAGAGAUAAGUGCUGAAAGCAUCUAAGCACGAAACUUGCCCCGAGAUGAGUUCUCCCUGACCCUUUAAGGGUCCUGAAGGAACGUUGAAGACGACGACGUUGAUAGGCCGGGUGUGUAAGCGCAGCGAUGCGUUGAGCUAACCGGUACUAAUGAACCGUGAGGCUUAACCUUACAACGCCGAAGCUGUU
rnacentral:rRNA from 1 species